GGUUUCCACUUUGGACUCUGGUCUUUAUCUAUUAAAACUGCCCUAACACCUUUAUGAAAGUCAUGGCCUCCCACACAAGCUUGACUCAGCUGAUACUCCAUAGUUAAUGUUUCUUGCAAGGUCUUUGAAGACCCCUCUAUGAUCGGUUGAGCACAAGUCUGAA